rnacentral:rRNA from 1 species
AGCAGUAGCCACGGGAAUACGGAGGGUGCAAGCGUUAAUCGGAAUUACUGGGCGUAAAGCGCACGCAGGCGGUCUGACAAGUCAGAUGUGAAAUCCCCGGGCUUAACCUGGGAACUGCAUUUGAAACUGUCAGGCUGGAGUCUUGUAGAGGGGGGUAGAAUUCCAGGUGUAGCGGUGAAAUGCGUAGAGAUCUGGAGGAAUACCGGUGGCGAAGGCGGCCCCCUGGACAAAGACUGACGCUCAGGUGCGAAAGCGUGGGGAGCAAACAGGAUUAGAUACCCCUGUAGUCCCUGUCUCUUAUAC